rnacentral:sRNA from 2 species
GUGCGGCCUCCGCCGAGUCCGGUACGCCCCCGCGGCACCCGGAGCCGGGGACCCACCCGACCUUGGGGUGAAUCGGCCAACGGCCCUGCGGGGCCGGGGCCGUAGGGCAUGCCUUCCGGAACCACCCGCCCGAACCCGACAGCUAACUCGGUAGGCGGAGUACGGAAGGAGA